rnacentral:rRNA from 1 species
GACUAACGCUGGCGGCGUGCCUAAUACAUGCAAGUCGAACGGUCAUGCGUUUGUAGCAAUAUGAAUGUAUGAUAGUGGCGAACGGGUGAGUAACACGUGGAUAAUCUACCUCUAAGUGGGGGAUAACUCCGGGAAACUGGGGAUAAUACCGCAUAACAUUUCGGCAGGACAUCCGGCUGAAAUCAAAGGAGCAAUUCGCUAAGAGAUGAGUCCGCGUCCCAUCAGCUAGUUGGUAGGGUAAUGGCCUACCAAGGCUUCGACGGGUAGCCGGCUUGAGAGAGCGAUCGGCCACAAGGGGACUGAGACACGGCCCCUACUCCUACGGGUGGCAG